rnacentral:rRNA from 1 species
UACGAAGGGGGCUAGCGUUGUUCGGAAUCACUGGGCGUAACGCGCACGCAGGCGGAUCGAUAAGUCGGGGGUGAAAGCCCGGGUCUCAACCUCGGAAUUGCCUUCGAUACUGUCGGUCUCGAGUCCGGGAGAGGUGAGGGGAAUUCCUAGUGUAGAGGUGUAAUUCGUAGAUAUUAGGAAGAACACCAGUGGCGAAGGCGGCUCACUGGCACGGUACUGACGGUCAGGUAUGAAAGCGUGGGGAGCAAACAGG